CCUACGGGUGGCAGCAGUGAGGAAUAUUGGUCAAUGGCCGUAAGGCUGAACCAGCCAUGUCGCGUGAAGGAAGAAGGAUCUAUGGUUUGUAAACUUCUUUUAUAGGGGAAUAAAGGUAUCCACGUGUGGCUAUUUGCAUGUACCCUAUGAAUAAGCAUCGGCUAACUCCAUGUCGGCAGCCGCGGUAAUACGGAGGAUGCGAGCGUUAUCCGGAUUUAUUGGGGUUAAAGGGUGCGUAGGUUGUUUGUUAAGUCAGCGGUGAAAGUUUGGGGUUCAACCAUACAAUUGCCGUUGAAACUGGAAGACUUGAGUGUGUUAGAGGGAGGCGGAAUGCGUGGUGUAGCGGUGAAAUGCAUAGAUAUCACGCAGAACUCCGAUUGCGAAGGCAGCUUACUAAGCCAUAACUGACACUGAAGCACGAAAGCGUGGGGAGCAAACAGGAUUAGAUACCCUUGUAGUC
rnacentral:rRNA from 1 species